rnacentral:rRNA from 1 species
CUGACCCUUUAAGGGUCCUGAAGGAACGUUGAAGACGACGACGUUGAUAGGCCGGGUGUGUAAGCGCAGCGAUGCGUUGAGCUAACCGGUACUAAUGAACCGUGAGGCUUAACCUUACAACGCCGAAG